AGCUAAUCAUUUUAUAAAGAUUUUUUAUAACAAUAUUUAUUUAUAUAAUAUCAAUUUAAUACAUUUAUUUCGUUACACCUACAUCACUGAGCGCAAGGGAGUGCAGCCAACAAAUACAUUCAGGUGUGUUUGACUUAACACCGAGAUGCGCAGACAGCACGUGGUAUGACAUCAAGUACCGCGAGAGUUUGGGAAAGCCCCGGAAAAGGUUUGAACUCGCGGUACUUGAUGUCACGAUCGGUUUGCGAGUAGAUCAGCAUGAAGUCAAACACAUCUGAGAGAUGUGUGGGCUGCCUGCACUCAACGUUGGGAUCAUUCAAUAGAGUGUAACCUCAAUCGGUUUUUGCAGCUUCUGGGUCCCGUGUAGAACGAUUUUUUGUUCUUUUCCAACUCGAUUUUUAACUCCCUAAACUAGUAGGAUGUUCCAACGGGUGAAGCAACAGUGCUGACGGCAGUUUCAGUGUCAAGUUUUCAUGCCAUGACCACUGGGGCGGAAACCAUUAUGACAUUGCCUUGGACAUCAAACUAAACCAUCUCAUUCUGGCUUUUGAGGUGGAUUCUAACCUCGAAAUCUCAGAAGGACAGGUCUAAGAUGGACGCAGCCUCCAUACAGUAGGAUGCAACCUUGCAUUUGAGAAACACCCAUAGAACGGAGAAAGUCAUGGUGUUCUGCUGCUAAGGUUGUCAUAAACGUCUUUUAUUCUGCUUACCUGACUCAUGCAGAAUUCUGGCUUGAUGUUUGGUCCACCUGUUAGCUGGCUCUGGUGCUUGGUAGUCUUCUCAAACCUCUGAAUCAAGACCACCAUGAGAGGCCUUCUGAAGACCAUCAUUACGCUUCAGAUCCAGUUGUCUUUACUUUGAGCCUACCACAAUCCCUGUGCACCAGCUAUGGAAAGUGCAGACCAAACUUCUACCUCCACCUAACUGAACUGGAGUCUAUGAACUAAUGCUGUGUUCGAGACAACUUGGAUGUUGGAUAUUAUUGACCUUAAACCCGUAAGAAGUCAGGAACAGGAAACAAAGUGGAGUAUCCGACCUCUCAACUUGGACCAGAUCGAUCAACACCGACCUCAACGAGAUGCGUCAUUUGACAUUGCAGACAAGAUCCUUUCUCUUUUUAAUGCAGCACUUAAGGAUGAACCACCCUGAUCUACUAAGAUGCACAGAUUCAACUCUGGCCCAGCAUCAUCCCCAUACCUCAUCUGCCAUCAGUUCAAUUUAAUGUCUGUCAAUUGCAAAUGGUAUUUAUUUCAGUUAUAUUACAACUUAAUAUUAAAGGAAUAGUCUACCCUUUUGCUAGCCUGGUUAGCCAGACCUACAUCAAGAUGUAAGGUCUGGCAACUCUUCACACAAACGGCUCAAUGCAAGGGCGGGAUAUAAGGUUGUCCCUCAAAAUGCCUCUGCACGCAAUAGGAUAGCGCUAUGACCAAUCAAAGCAACGAAGAAGGUGACGUAUGAGUCCCAUGCGUUUCCCCACCAGUGGAGCUAAUUGGUAUAUCAAACUUUUACCGUAACCAGUCGGCAAAACUCCAAACACAUCUUUCUUGCUUAAAAAGGACUUCAGUAGGGUUAUUUGCUCUUCACUCAAAGAAAAACAUAAGUCUAAGUCCUCCAGAGUCGCGGCCAAAGCCGCUUCAAAAGAAAGCUGUUCGCCAGCAGCAGCCAUUCUUUGUUUUCAAGUAGGAACCGUCGCAGGCAGCUCUGUCGUCAUCGUGUUAAGCCCGCCCCACAGACGCUACACACGAUGUGAUUGGCCUGACCAAAUUUUGGUUUUUGGAGCUGUUAAGUGUAUUGUGAGUGCCUAGACUAAACCCUGGCAGCAAAUAUAUUUUGCGGCCGCUAGGGUGCGUCUAGAUUUCUAGGCUACCCUUUUGCCAUAUUAAACUAUGUUAUUACCUCAACCUAGAUGAAUUAAUACAUACCUAUCUUUUUUCAAUGCGUGCACCGUACAGCGCGUUGUGAAUGUGUUAGCAUUUAGCCUAGCCCCAUUCAUUCCUAUGGUACCAAAAAAGUUUUAUUUUGUGGCACCAUACUUACUGGUAUAACUCCUCAUGUAACAGUCUUAAAAUAGGGAAAACACGAAAGUGUUUGGUGGCUUCCCUGUUUGGUACCAUAGGAAUGAAUGGGGCUAGGCUAAAUGCUAACACAUUCACGACGCGCUGUACAGUGCACAAUAGAUAUGUAUUAAUUUGUCUAAGUUGAGGUAAUAACAUAGUUUAAUAUGGCAAAAGGGUAGACUAUUCCUUUAACUUUAAUUGAGACUAGUAUUGUGUAAAGCUGGGGUUUCCAAACUUCUCAUUUCAAAACCUAUUAGACAACUGUAAUCUAUUCUAGACCCACUAAAAUAUUUUUAAAUAUACAUUUUUUAAUGGGGUAAAACACAUUUGUUCUCUUUCAGUGGAGUCAUUUUAUUUUCAUAAUAUUUCAUAAUGUAAAGUAAAUAUAAGUUUAUUUGCAAUACCAAAUAUUUUAUGGUAUAUUCUUUCAAAACCAUUGUCAUUGUUAAUUAUUAGUUUGGCCAAACUGUUGUUGCAUCAUUACGGUGUGCAACACACCUUAACCUACUGUGUGACGGACAAGUAGGUCCUCCUGACACACAAUUUAAAAUCCCCUGGUGUACCGAAUGUUGUAUUGUAAUUAAAGUUGCAUCUAAGUCUUGUGUAA